GACGAACGCUGGCGGCGUGCUUAACACAUGCAAGUCGAACGGAAAGGCCCUGCUUUUGUGGGGUGCUCGAGUGGCGCACGGGUGAGUAACACGUGAGUAACCUGUCCCUGACUUUGGGAUAUCUUCAGGAAACUGGGGCUCUUACCGGAUAGGAGAUCCUGCUGCAUGGUGGGGGUUGGAAAGUUUCGGCGGUUGGGGAUGGACUCGCGGGUUAUCAGCUUGCUGGUGGGGUAGUGGCUGACAAAGGCUUUGACGGGUAGCCGGCCUGAGAGGGUGAACGGCCACAUGACUACUGAGAGACGGCGCAGACGCCAACGGGAGGCAGCGGGGGAGAACAUGACACAAGAGGCGCGAGCCUGAUGCGGCAACCCCGGGUGCGGGAUGACGUCCUUCUGGGGGUAAACCACUGUCGCCUGUGACGAAGCGUGAUUGACGGUAAUGGGUAAAGAAGCACCGGCUAACUACGUG
rnacentral:rRNA from 1 species